rnacentral:rRNA from 1 species
GAUGAACGCUGGCGGCGUGCCUAAUACAUGCAAGUCGAGCGAACAGACGAGGAGCUUGCUCCUUUGACGUUAGCGGCGGACGGGUGAGUAACACGUAGGUAACCUACCUAUAAGACUGGGAUAACUUCGGGAAACCGGAGCUAAUACCGGAUAAUAUUUCGAACCGCAUGGUUCGAUAGUGAAAGAUGGCUUUGCUAUCACUUAUAGAUGGACCUGCGCCGUAUUAGCUAGUUGGUAAGGUAACGGCUUACCAAGGCAACGAUACGUAGCCGACCUGAGAGGGUGAUCGGCCACACUGGAACUGAGACACGGUCCAGACUCCUACGGGAGGCAGCAGUAGGGAAUCUUCCGCAAUGGGCGAAAGCCUGACGAGCAACGCCGCGUGAGUGAUGAAGGUCUUCGGAUCGUAAAACUCUGUUAUUAGGGAAGAACAAACGUGUAAGUAACUGUGCACGUCUUGACGGUACCUAAUCAGAAAGCCACGGCUAACUACGUG